GAGUUUGAUCGUGGCUCAGAUUGAACGCUGGCGGCAUGCCUUACACAUGCAAGUCGAACGGCAGCAUGAUCUAGCUUGCUAGAUUGAUGGCGAGUGGCGAACGGGUGAGUAAUACAUCGGAACGUGCCCUGUAGUGGGGGAUAACUAGCCGAAAGAUUAGCUAAUACCGCAUACGACCUGAGGGUGAAAGUGGGGGACCGCGAGGCCUCAUGCUAUAGGAGCGGCCGAUGUCUGAUUAGCUAGUUGGUGGGGUAAAGGCCCACCAAGGCGACGAUCAGUAGCUGGUCUGAGAGGACGAUCAGCCACACUGGGACUGAGACACGGCCCAGACUCCUACGGGAGGCAGCAGUGGGGAAUUUUGGACAAUGGGCGAAAGCCUGAUCCAGCAAUGCCGCGUGUGUGAGAAGGCCUGGUGUAAG
rnacentral:rRNA from 1 species